AGAGAGACGGGGAGAGAAGGUGACAGAGAGACGGGGAGAGAAGGUGACAGACAGGGAGAGAAUGUGACAGAGAGACAUCCUGAGAGAAGGUGACAGAGAGAGGGAGAGAAGGUGACAGAGAGACGGGGAGAGAAGGUGACAGAGAGACAGGGAGAGAAGGUGACAGACAGGGAGAGAAGGUGACAGAGAGACAUCCUGAGAGAAGGUGACAGAGACAGGGAGAGAAGGUGACAGAGAGACAGGGAGAGAAGGUGACAGAGAGACAGGGAGAGAAGGUGACAGAGAGACGGGGAGAGAAGGUGACAGAGAGACAGGGAGAGAAGGUGACAGAGAGACGGGUAGAGAAGGUGACAGACAGGGUGAGAAGGUGACAGAGAGACUGGGAGAGAAGGUGACAGAGAGACAGGGAGAGAAGGUGACAGAGAGACGCGGAGAGAAGGUGACAGAGAGACGGGGAGAGAAGGUGACAGAGAGACAUGGAGAGAAGGUGACAGAGAGACAGGGAGAAAAGGUGACAGAGAGACAGGGAGAGAAGUUGACAGAGAGACAGGGAGAGAAGGUGACAGAGAGACAGGGAGAGAAGGUGACAGAGAGACGGGGAGAGAAGGUGACAGAGAGACAGGGAGAGAAGGUGACAGAGAGACGGGGAGAGAAGGUGACAGAGAGACAGGGAGAGAAGGUGACAGAGAGACAGGGAGAGAAGGUGACAGAGAGACAGGGAGAGAAGGUGACAGAGAGACAGGGAGAGAAGGUGACAGAGAGAUGGGGAGAGAAGGUGACAGACAGGGAGAGAAGGUGACAGAGAGACAUCCUGAGAGUUUACAGUCAAUAUGGUAGGAUAUUUAUGAGUUAAAUGAACCAUGUGUGACAGAGAGAGAGGGAGAGAAGGUGAGGAAGUUAAAGCGAGGGAAGAGAAAAGAAGAACUUCCAAAGAGGAGAGUUCAAGACUAAAGAAACACAAAUAUAUAUUAUAUUCAG
rnacentral:lncRNA from 1 species